rnacentral:rRNA from 1 species
AGUGGCGGACGGGUGAGUAACGCGUGGGUAACCGGCCCUGUACAGGGGGAUAACAGUUAGAAAUGACUGCUAACACCGCAUAAGCGCACGGUAAGGCAUCUUAGUGUGUGAAAAUAUUAAUAGGUACAGGAUGGGCCCGCGUCUGAUUAGCCAGUUGGCAGGGUAACGGCCUACCAAGGCAACGAUCAGUAGCCGGCCUGAGAGGGUGAACGGCCACAUUGGGACUGAGACACGGCCCAAACUCCUACGGAAGGCAGCAG